rnacentral:rRNA from 1 species
CCUACGGGAGGCAGCAGUGGGGAAUAUUGCACAAUGGGGGAAACCCUGAUGCAGCAACGCCGCGUGAGUGAAGAAGUAUUUCGGUAUGUAAAGCUCUAUCAGCAGGGAAGAAGAUGACGGUACCUCAUUAAGAAGCCCCGGCUAACUACGUGCCAGCAGCCGCGGUAAUACGUAGGGGGCCAGCGUUCAUCGGAUUUACUGGGUGAAAAGGGAGCGCUGACGGGAGCGCAAGUCUGGAGUGAAAGCCCGGGGCCCAACCCCGGAACUGCGCUGGAAACUGGUCGGCGAGAGGACUGGAGGGGCAGGCGGAAUUCCUAGUGUAGCGGUGAAAUGCGUAGAUAUUAGGAGGAACACCAGUGGCGAAGGCGGCCUGCUGGACAGUAACUGACGUUGAGGCUCGAAAGCGUGGGGAGCAAACAGGAUUAGAUACCCGAGUAGUC